UUUUUUUUUUUAAGAUUUUUAUUUAGAUUUUCAUUUAGUUUUUAGGAAUUUUGGGGCCCUUAUGACAAGUUUUUAUUUGGAAUGGGGGGCUUGUAUCUAGUAGCCAUGGCACUGUAUAUAAGGUAUAUACAAUAUAUAUCAAAUUAUAUACAAUAUAAAUAAAAUAUAUUUAUUUAAUAAUUUUAUAUAAUUUAUUUAUGAGUAACUAAAGGAAUGUUAUCAAUUUAUUAUAUGAAUCAUAAGCAUGUGCUUAUCUAUUUACAAGUACCUUUGAUGGUGAAAAUUACAUUUUUUAUCUGAAGAGAGUUGGGAGAAAUUUUCAUAUUGAAACGAGAUAUUGUUUAAAGAGGUUUUCAAAGAAGUCGUUUUAACAACAAUGGAAAAGCUUCCAAUUCCCGAGAUAAACGUGAAAGCAUUUGAUACAUGACUAAAGAAUCGUUCAAAAGUUUGCUUAAUUUUGAUAGUGUAAUUUUAAUUACUAUUUUUUUUUGAAAUAAACCAAUCAAUUUAUAUA